rnacentral:rRNA from 1 species
GUAACAAGGUUUCCGUAGGUGAACCUGCGGAAGGAUCAUUAUUGAUAUCUGGGAUAUCUUUACAGAUUCCCAAUUACAAACCUCUCUGGUUAUUAGUCCAUGUUGCUUUCACAAGUUAAGAGACAUUCUUGCUUGCCAGUUGUAGCUGUCAUUCAUACUUGGGUAGCAGAUCAUUACAUUGUAACCAAUUCAUGUAUGCUACUACUGCUUGCGCUUUAGUACUAUACAGGCACUUGUGAAAGGUCUCAACUAAGCUUUAAAUUAUGUGGUCUGACUUGGCCAAGUGCCAUAUCUCUUAAGUGAAAACUUUCAACAACGGAUCUCUUGGCUCUCGCAUCGAUGAAGAACGCAGCGAAAUGCGAUAAGUAAUGUGAAUUGCAGAAUUCAGUGAAUCAUCGAAUCUUUGAACGCAUAUUGCACCCUUUGGCAUUCCUUAGGGCAUGCCUGCUCGAGCGUCACAGAAAACCCCAUCACAGUUCCUGUGGUCUUGGUAUGAGUGGGUUGAUAGUAUGUGGAGACAUGCUUAUAACACUCUACUGAAAUUUAUAGACAGGAUACCGGAUAUGGGCAAUAGACUUUGUAAAUAUCCACAGGAUAUAUAUCAGUCAUGUGUCAUGUUUGGUCCUGAUAUUAUGGACUCCUAUUCUAUACAAACAUUGGGUUGACCUCGAAUCAGGUA